UAGGCAGCAUGCUCGCAGCUCCACAUGUCACCUCAUGUAAUCCUGUGAUGGUCCCAGGCAGUGAGAUUUUACAGAAAAGGAAACAGGUUUGAAGAAGCAAAGUCACUCAUAGUCAUGCGGCCGAAAGGAGGCAGAUCCCACCUUCCAGAAUCUUCCUCAGGCUGAGGCGAGAGAGGGUGCAGAGCCCAGGCUUACUGGGUCAAUCUCAGGUGAUGUGUCUGCUUCCAACCAGCCCUGCAGGUUCCAGGAAAGGCCACAGAUGACCUUGAUUUUACCCUCAGAAUGUACAUGGCCUUUAACCUGUGACCCGGCGGGCCCAACACAACUGCUCUCUCUACACCCUGAAGAGGCAAGUCCAAGAGUGAGCCAGCUGUGCCAAGCUGACUGGACAAGAAGGAAAAGCUGCUGAUGGUGGCCCUCCAGGCAAGAGCACAGAUUCAGCGACAAAUGCUUCACCCAAAGCUGCUCCAGGAUGCCUAAGGCUCCAGGGUUUUCUCAACCACCUUGAAAGACAAGCCUUCAGGAAUUCCUUAAUUACAGGCCUGCAGAGGUAGGCUGAGUGGGCCUUGGCUGUCUUGUUUGAAUCCAUCAGCCCCUGGCCCUCUCUGAUGAGGCCACCUUCCCUCCACCUCCUCUCGUGACAGGAGCCAAAAAGAACUGGCCCUGCCCUAACAGAAGACUGGGUCUUUCUGUCUGCAUUUCGGUCCCUUCAGCUGUACCUGUGCUUUUAGACUGGGGUAGCCAUCACAUGAUAAAUCCUGGCCAUUUCUUCAAAUUGUCCAUUCAGACACAACAGGAAGAGAGGAGACAGGAUCAGAGGAUCUCGGAGGGACUGUCACAAUUCCAGGAUUUCUAAUUCAACAGUCUGUCAAUGCCGCCAGCUGGCUGGCUACCUCUUGGAGCACUCAUGACUCAAUGAUUGAGGGUCUGGCAAUAUCCUCUUGCCACUCACAAACAUGGGGUGAACACCUACUGUGUGCCAACGACUAUGCCAGGGACCAGGGAUGCAGUGGUGAACAAACUGUCAUGGUCUCUGCUUUUGUGGGACUUGUGGUCAAGUAACAAUUACAGAUGGUGACAACCUCUGGAAGGAACACUCCAGGUGGUCAGGGCUACCUGGAGGAGGGGGAAGUCUGAGUGAGUCCUUGAGUUCUCCCCACGAAAGCUAAAAAUCAGCUCUCAGAACACAUCAUCAGAUACACACUCCACAGAUGACAAAUGAACAACUAAUUCUGCCAAGCACAGACCAGCAGAAGAGCCUCGUGGUUCUUUCACAGUACUCACCCGGCUUUCAGUCAAAUUCAGGUCCAGGAAAACACGGAGUGAUUCUUUACCAGGCGUUUACAACAAUGGUGUUUAGACAGGGGAGGUACAAGCCUGCAGUGAGCAGAAGAAAGACCACCUGAUUUGUCUGCCUUCACCUGUCUCCACAGGUGUGACAUUCAUGCGUGAAGAGGAGACACCAGUCUGUCUCGGGAGUCAUUUGGCCCCUGGCCCCGCAGACGCUAUCUCUAGUCCUCACACCCUCCCUGGGAAGCAGGGUUUAGCAACGCUGUGUUCCUCCCAGGACUCUGAGCAGGUCGUCUCUCUCCUCUGAGCCCUCAGGGUUACACAGCACUGAAUGUUCCCAGACAGGGGGCGACUUCACGUCGAAGCAGAGGCAUUUGAGUAUGUGGCAUCUCUGCAAACGAACAUGUCUCUUCUCGCUCCCAGGAGGCCAUAAGCAAAGGCAGGAAAGCAUUCUAGAGAGCAGGGGCUUGAGUCCCCAGCUAGCACAGUCCCCACCCGGGCCUCAGUUUCCCCACCUGUAAAGUGGAGCUCACGAUCGGUGAGGGCUGAGAGCACCCAUGGAAAGCAGAGCAGGGGCCUGGCACAGAGCAAGUGUGCCACAAGUGCCAGCCCCAUUGCUGAGUUUCAUUUCUAAACUCAUCCCGGGUCAGAACUCACAGAGAGUACACAGGCCAGAAGCACACAGCUUAUGUGCACACGGGCUCGAUGACUUAGCAGCGUGCACACACCCAGGUGUGGGGUACAGGGCGUGGCAAAAAUCACUGCUCAGCGUGGCUGGAGCCCGGGCCAGAGCUCCUGGCGUCCAGCAGCUCCCAGCACAUGAUCAAGUCCUAGCUACACAAAAGUCACAGUUUCACUUUGAAGGCGAUGCAGAAAAGUGAAGCUUCCCAUGCAGGGCAGGAAUCACGCAAGGUUGCUUUUCUGAUGGGCUGCCCUGGCUGCAGGGAGGACAACAGGUGGAACAUCUGGUGGUACAGGGAGCUGGUGCCCUAAGCCUUGGUCAUGGCUCAACAGACA